GCAGAGAGGGAAUCAAUUCCAAGUUCUCGUCUCCUAGUCUAAUAUUCCUUCCACAAUUUAAGCAUUUCCCAAACUGAAUUUCAGAGAAUGCUCUUGUCCCCAAAACUGAUAAGAGGUUUUUCGUUAAAAGGGGUUCUGUGCUCCUCUGAUGUCACCUAUCAUGUCGGCUCUUGGAGAUUGAAAAUGAAUAGUAAUAUGUUGAAGUUUUCGAGAAGUCCUGUAGUUUAAGAUUUCAGCCUGUCUAGUCUGAUGUUUCCAAAACUGAGCUAAUCAUGUAAUCAUUUUUAAGAAACCCCUAUUAACACCACAUGGGACAUGGGCAUUCUGAGGGUUACACAGUCUAGGAAACAAUGGGGAGGGUCUGAGUUGCGUUUCUUCUAAAAAGAGAGGCAAAGAGCUGAGCAGAAACGUGAGCAUAACAUGGUCUCCCUUUCUGUGGAGGAAAAUGUGAAGCAGGUGUUGAUGAAAAGCAAGUGGGAAUAUCCCAGGAGGUAGAGAUGACUACUCCAGAGGCUUAAUGGAAGGAGAUGGUUAGGGCUCAGAAACCAAGUUCCCCCAAUGGUGGAAAAGGAGAGAAAAGGUGUUACUACUACUAGCUACCACUACUAUUAUAACAAAAUGCCAGGAAAGGGGAUUUUGAGUCAUUUAGUCAGAGGUAAAAGCGCCAGCAUUCUCCACAGCAAGAGCCAGCAAGCCCCCAUCAUGAGAAAAGAGAGCCUCAUACAUAGUAGGCAUUCAACAAAUAUUUGUUGAAUGAAUGAGUCCGUGAAGCAAGCUGAUUUGCCUCAAGCAAUGGAGAGAGCCUAAGCCAAGUGAAUUUGAAGUUACGGAUCGUCUUCUGCACCUCCAGGGAGGAUUAAUUUUCUAUGGAAAGAAAAGUAGGAACAUAUGACCAGGGAAGCCCCAUAAGCACCGGCUCUCUUAUUUCCAUAGGGUCUGAGGGAUUUUUCCGGGCAAAGCCCAGCAAUAGAACUGAGUAUAGUUGUGGAGGGAAUGAGUCAGGUUGAGCUGUUUGUUUGUUCUCCAGGGCAGGGCAUUGCAAGAGUCAAUAAACACACUGGAGCCUCUUUGACUGGGCCUUGGAGCAAGAGAUCAGCUUGUUUGUUCUAGAGAAUUUGAACUUGGGUCAAAAUGGCUCUCAGGGCCUCCCUUCCCUGAGGUGGAGACCUCCAGGCUGCAGCUGAGGUCAUGCACUGGGCAGCCAGGUGCACCACCUAACCAUGCGUUCCACAGGGGACGUUCCUUUCACCAAGCUAUUUUUUUUCCUUCACGACAUGCCAUGGCCACACCAACCUGCCACCUACUAGUUGUGCAGACGUCUUACUAUUGAACACAGGCCACAGAAUUGUUAACAGCCUCAGACUAGGGCCCUGGCAUAGGCAAGCGGGAGCACAAAGUUGGAGUCCCAGGACUGGAAAGCACCUUCUCAAUGACACGUCAAACGCCUUCCUGUCUCUAGCACAGCCACCCACCUUAGAGUCAGUCUCGUCUCCCUCUUUCCUCUUCCCAAAUACAGAAGAGAUUGAACUUUCUCAGAUGGUCCAAUCCCAGCUGUCAUGAGGCCGCAGCAGAAGAUCCCCCCGUGUGCUCCGGGCCUCGCCGUGGGGAAGCUCCUGAUCCGCGCUGGUUGGCGGAAGAGACCAGGAGUAUCUACAAACUUCCCCCCAAAAUGCUUACUAAGCAACAAAGCAGCAAGUACAAACCAACAAUCGGGCUGAAACGAGGAAGAGCCGAGAAGCCCUAAAAGACGAAGAGGCUGGCUGGGGAAGGGUUCCUGGAAGAGGGGGUACAGGCCGCAGCUGGGCUGGAGGAGAAAGGGGCAGAGGGAGAGAAAGUGAAGGCCUUCCAGCCUGAGGAGGGGACGGGGGAGGGACAUUUCCAAGGCCAGAAAGGGCGCAGCAUGGACAGGAGACCCGGAAUAGAGAGGAACACAAAGGAACCGAGUAGAAGGAGACCCCAGGGCAGCCUUGCAAGUAAAGCCAGAGUCUGAAGUGACAGGUAAGUAAGUUGUCGGGGGACAGUAUCGAAGAUCUUUGGGGUGUGAGUCAAAAGACAUGCGUUCUGUCCUGGAUCUGCUACCGUCUCAGGUACCACAGGCCUUGGUCUUCCCAUCUGUAACAUCAGGCCAUUGGCCCAGAGGACCUAGAGGGUGGGUCCCUUGACCCACCCAGAAAACUCUGGCUCGACGCUCAGCGACGGGAGGCAGCAAGGACCGCGUGGCCGUUCCUCCACAAAUCCAUUUAAUAUUUUCCCCUUAUACAAGACAAGUCUAAGUUCCCUUUAUCCCUGCGACUGAAUUACAACUUGAGCAUAUUUACUACGUCAAAGAUUAAUCCUCUAAACCCGGCAAGCUCGCUGGUUGAGCUGCAAGGAAAUAUCUCUAUAAAAAGAAUAGACUCUAUAAAUUAUUGGUCACUUACCUAGGGUUGUUACUAAAUUAUUUUAAAAGGAUAUAUAUUCUGCUCCUACACUCUCACUUCUGUCUCUCUCAGACUAAUUGCUUCCUGAACUAGGAAGGGUGUCCAGGCAGAGACCUAGGAAGUUUGAUAUAUUCCGGAUCCUUCAACUGCUGGGAUUCCAGAUGAUAAAUAAACUGCACAGUGGAAUUUGAAUCAACCUAUUCACAGACUAGAAGGGAGCAAGGGGACUGCUGGCUUGUUCAUCUUCGAAUAUGACCCGCGCCUGUGACUAGCACCUACCCAGUACUUGUGUAUACACUGGUCAGUGCAUGAAUGUGUAGAUUAAGAAUGGUAAUCUAACUAAAAGGACUUGAUAGUGUCUAGCCUUAGUCUUAUGCGACAACAACCACUCACCCCCUUCUGCCUCCUGGGCCAGUAAAUGACACCCCUUGCAUCUGAGUUAGAUGUCUAUCCUUCACCCCCUGCCCCAUGUACACCUGCCUCACAGCUCUGAUCAUGCUGUACUAUAAAUGCUGGUUUACUUGUCUAUCUCCCCACCAACCUCAAGCACCUAAAAGGCAGAGAGUUUGUCUUACUCAUUUUUGCCUCCCUUGUCCAGAAUGGUAGAGAUCACAAAUAAGGCAUUUUGUUGAAUGAAUCCAACCAAGAAGCACACUAACUUAUCUUUCCAGUGUUAUGACCAAAGAAAGAAUCUUUUAGGAGGAUGUCAAAGGUCAAUCCCUAUAACAAAAGAUACACCCAUAACAUUAUGUCUACUUGACCAAAGGAGAGGCUUGCAGAAGCAAUCAUACGGAUAUUCUUUUUUUAAAAAGAUUUUAUUUAUUUAUUUAUUUAUUUAUUUAUUUAUUUAUUUAUUCAUGAGAGACCCAGAGAGAGAGGCAGAAACACAGGCAGAGGGAGAAACAGGCUCCAUGCAGGGAGCCCGAUGUAGGACUCGAUCCCCAGACCCUGGAUCCCGUUGAGCCAAAGGCAGGAACUCAGCCGCUGAGCCACCCAGGCAUCCCUCACGUGAAUAUUCUAAUUCUCCAACAUGUUUCAGAAAAACAAACAUAGUCUACACCGGACAAAUUAUCUCGAUAUUUAUUCACCUCUAGAACCUUCAGAGUCUCCGUUGCACUCUGAGGGGUGUGGAAUGGAACAGAAAGUGCAAGCACAGGCUCUGUCGUCAGGGACACCCAGACUGAAACACAUCAGCGAGGAUGAACAGAAGGAAGCUGAAAGACAUUAAUUCUGUACAAUUAACCAAAGAAAGGCGUCAGACAAGGGCUCCUAACAGCAGCAGCUUCCAGCUCUCCCAGAGGGAGCCCCAUCAACUUCUCAGCAAGGCAAUGCUCCCUCCAGUCUACACCUAAUCUCUCGGCUGAAAGUCCAGUUGCUGCUGCUCUGGCCUCAGGAAAGGCUAGUAUUCUCCUGUUCUUGAGUUUCAACACCUGAAAUCCCCACCCCCACACCGCCCAUCAGCAUUCUCUCUCUUCCCUACUUCCUCUAUCUUCCCCCUCCAUUCUGGACCUUUCUCUUCAUUGUAUUAAACAUGACUUUCUUAUUUAUACCCUUUUAUCAAAGCCAUGUGACUUUUUAAAAGACUUUUCUAGAAUCCUUAAUCAUUGCAAUGAGUAUCACUUAAUUCAGAGUCGAUGAAACAUAUUAUUCGAACAAUCGUCAUUUUUGGCGGCAAACGAUGCAGAGAUGGAAGCCAAACCCCAAGCACCUGUGACUUGGAGGGAGGCUCCCAUGCACCAACCACUGCCCUCUCCUUUCAGUCCUGGAGACUGAAAGUCAAAUGAGGUGGUCAUCCUCCAUCCCCAAGUCCCAAAUGCUCCUCCAAUCCCUCUUGAGAUACAGACGCUGGAAAGAAGGAUUUGGUGUCUGUUGCUCUACACUCCUCAAAACCACAUCACCUCCUCAGGAACGAGCAUUUCAGAGUUUCCUGAGCUUUCUCGGUGCUACCUGUCCAGCUACAAAGGGAAGAUGGCAGAUGGUUAAAGGAACCUUGCACAUACCCCAUCAGAAUCCAAGGCAGAUAAAACAAGGUAAUUUGCCGUUCCUCUGAGAGCCUGGUGCUCCCAUGAGGGACAAAGGAAGCUGGAUGUCCUGAUCAUCUAGAGUAAUUGCCGCCGCCACCACCCUGACAAUAAUAACCCCCCCAACCACUGACAGCCCUUUUCAUCUGAAGGAUCUCAAAGCACUUAGCCGCCAGGUGCUCAUUAAGGCCUCUUGGAUGAGGUUGGCUUGAUGGGUCUGAGGCCUUGCUACAGACGGUCAGGGUCAGGGGGUGACUCAGAGAACUUAGGGAGCCAAAUAUUGCAGAGGAGGGGGGCCCAUCAGCUUCCUACACGUGGGAAAAUGAGCCUCCUUGGCCCAGGUCUGGUGCCGACUCCAGGGGAAUGAAAAGGAGGCUAGCUCCUCCCCCAGCAGUCUGCAAGCAGGGUCAUGCAGAAUUAAUCCAACACAGAGCUCAUCUACCCCAAUACCAGACAGGACUGUUUACUCCCCCAAGAACUGGUGGGAGGCAUGGGGGUGUAGCAACGAGGAAAACAUCUCUGAAAGGAGAAAUGCGGAAUAGCUGAAGAAACACUGCCUCAAUCAAGAGAGAGUCUAAGGAGGGUGGUUCUGGGAUACUCAAGUCUUAAGAGUGGCCCUGGAUGGCCAAACAGGGAAGGGCUUCAUUUUCCUAGGCCUCAAAAGAGGCAACAUCAGUUUUUCUACAGAAGUAGCCUAUGUACAAAGUCUGAAUGCAAACCCACAGUGUGUCCAUCAGAAUGUGAUUUCUGGGGAUCCCCGGGUGGCGCAGCGGUUUGGCGCCUGCCUUUGGCCCAGGGCGCGAUCCUGGAGACCUGGGAUAGAAUCCCACGUCGGGCUUCCGGUGCAUGGAGCCUCCUUCUCCCUCUGCCUGUGUCUCUGCCUCUCU